ACCUGGUUGGCUCAGUCCAUAGAGCAUACGACUCUUGAUCUCAAGGUUGUGAGUUCAAGCCCCACACUGGGUA
rnacentral:tRNA from 1 species